rnacentral:other from 1 species
CCAAUCCUGCGGUGUUCGAUUGACGCCUGUGUUUAAUACCUCCAAAUGUUUGACGGGAGUGCGAGUCCGGAUACGGAUGUCGGGCCCGCUUUCGACGGGAUGGCAGAAGUGAUGGCAGCACACCCACCUGCUUGGGAAGGCAGGUGUUUAAACUUGGCGGACGGCACCCUGGGAUAUCU